CCUACGGGUGGCUGCAGUGAGGAAUAUUGGACAAUGGAUGGAAAUCUGAUCCAGCCAUGCCGCGUGCAGGAAGACGGCCCUAUGGGUUGUAAACUGCUUUUGUGUGGGAGCAAUAAGGUCUAUGCGUAGACUGAUGAGAGUACCAUACGAAUAAGCAUCGGCUAACUCCGUGCCAGCAGCCGCGGUAAUACGGGGGAUGCAAGCGUUAUCGGGAUUUAUUGGGUUUAAAGGGGUUUUAGAAGGUUGGAGAGAAAUAUUUCAGCUUAACUGAAAGGGGGCCGUUGAUACUGUCAGGCUUGAAUAUGGUUGCUGUGGGUGGAAUGUGUGGUGUAGCGGUGAAAUGCUUAGAUAUCACACAGAAUAUCGAUUGCGAAGGCAGCUCACAAAGCCAUUAUUGACGCUGAUGCACGAAAGUGUGGGGAUCAAACAGGAUUAGAUACCCCAGUAGUC
rnacentral:rRNA from 1 species